UGUGUGUGUGUGUAUGCAAAUAGAAGAGGGGUCUGUAUCAUCAGAUGUUGCUAAAGUUCUUAGAGAUUCUCUGUGUGGGUUUCUAUGGAAACAUGAGAGGCUGUCUCAGAAACAAAUGGCAGGAUGCUAGAGAAAAGGGCACAGAUAGUCACAUUUAAUAUCAUUUUAUAAUCUGGCUAUUUUUGCACAUUGUGAAGACAAGCAGCCUAAAAGAGUGAUUAAAAUACUCAGAAAUAUUUAAGAUUUUAACAGAAAAAAGAGAAAAUUGGUCAUCCUGCCUUUGUUUUAGGCAGCUUUCACAAAAUAUAGAGGUUAUUUCCAAGAUCCUUUCUUUGAUUUCUUACUUUACUUCUGCUUGUGUACCAACCGAUUCUUGUUAAAUAUUUAUGGACAAGAUUAAAGACUUUAUAAAACUCAGCAGCUGGCAACUGUCCUCGCCUAAAGGAUAAAGCAGAGAGUCUUCAUUUUAAUUGGGUAACUAUGUGACUGAAAUAUCUAACCCCCAAGGGAAAUACAAGAGUUAAAAUAUGUAAAGCAAUUUUUAAAAGAGAAAAUCGCUCUCUACAUUUUAUAGUUUUUAUUUCCUUUGGUAGUUGCGUGUGAAGGUGAAAUUACAGUGUUGUCUUUUAUAGCGUCCUAAGGUUGGAGGCACAUUUCAAUGUUUCCGAAUGCCUCCUAAUAACAUCCAGGUAGACAGCACAUCAUUCUGCUCUGUGUUGUGACACAAAAUUGCUCAUCAUAUUUCACUUCUGAGAAUCUUUCACCCAUCUGUCUCGUGACCAAGUUAUAAAACGACAGAGUAAACUUAAAACUGCAGAGAGCGGGGGAAUCUGUUAAACUGACUAUUGGACAGACAUUGAAUGCAACAAACAAAAGUUGAAGAAAUAGGGGUUUCUCCAAUUUUGAUCCAAUAAUUACCUGACAUUUAACAGCUAUAUUGUUAGCGUUGAGCCUGUGAUGUUGGUCUUGAGAGACUCAGCUGAUCUUGAACAAAUCAACUUUCUCUCCAUGGGUGUGAUCCUCAACCAGAACAUCUAGGUCUUGGACAAGAUGUCUCCUGAGAUUCCCUUAAGGGCUAAGUGUCCUUUAAGGCCUAAGUAUCUAAGUCAGGGUCAACAAAGCAAAGUAUCAUGAACCAAUUCCCAUUUACUGCCUGUUUUUAUACAGCCUUGUGAGCUAAGAACAUUUUUUACAUUUUUAAAUAGUUGGGGAAAAAAUAAAAAAUAUAUAUUUUCUGAUAUGUACAAAUUAUAUAAAAUUCAAAUUUAAGUGUCCACAAAUAAAGUUUUAUUGCAACACAAGGAAGCUCAUUUGUUUAUGUGUUGUCUGUGGUUGUUUUUACACUACGGUGGUAUAGUCAAGUGCUUAUGACAGAGACUGUAUGGCCCUCAAGCCUAAAAUAUUUACUAUCUGAACUUUUACUGAAGAAAGUUGCCAAUCUCUAUCUAAACGAUUCUGAAUCAACUUAAAAGAGUCAGUCAAGUCAUCUUUUUUGUUUGUUUAUUUGAAUGGUAACUUUCUUAAUAGUAAUAUUGAUUGUAUUUGAAAAAAAUCUUUGUUAAAUUUUUGCUCUAUUAUUAAAGAAGGAAGAUGUAGUUUUCUUCCAGCAAAUCAGAUUUGCUGGAACCACUUUCUCUGAUAAUUUUUCCUUUCUCAGCUUCACAUGUGUAGAGUUAGGUGCAUUCCUCGAGGAAUGAGAAAGGCGGGUAAUGUAACGUACAGACCAAAGAUUUUGAGUUUCAUUUCCUGUAAUUAACUUGAGAUGAGUUCUCCCAUAAUUCUAGGUCUCAAACCCAGGUCCUGGGAAGAAACUUCUGCCUGGCUAAAAUGCAGAGAAACCCAUUAUUAGCAGAACAACUGGAGAAUGAACACUUUCCAACCCCCUGCUUUGUGCCAGCGUCAGUGGUAGGCGUUUGCAGGCAGUUUUAUUAUUCCUUAUAACAACCUCAUCUCCCAGAAGGGAGAGCCUGAGAUGUAGAGAGGUUAGAGAGCUGGUAAGUGGGGAGGGUGGAUUUGAGCCAACGUCUGUCUGAUUUCAAAGCUCAUGUUCUUACAAAGGCAAUUUAAUAUUUACAAGAACUCUCUCUUCCCAGUAAGGUUGUCACCCAAAGAAACGAAAAAUAAGAUGAGAAGACCGGUACAUUUUGGAUCAAAGCAAGGUCCAGAAGUCUCUCUCAGUCUGUACGGGUGUGUUUCCUGGAGCCAAUGCUGAUAAAGAGUGUUGAUUUGUCACAGGCUGGAGUUCAGUGGUGUGGUCAUGGCUCACUGCAGCCUCAAAUCUCCUGGACUCAGACAUCCUGAAGCUACUUGGGAGUGUGCCUUCCUCUAGUCUUCUUGGCAUACCAACACCAUUAAGUGCUAACAUUUGGAGGAAAACAUCAAGAAGCUUUUUCUAUGCUGAGUACCAGGGGAAUGCAGGACAAGGAGAAGGACAUACUUUCUUCCUUCAGAGAGCUACCAGAGGAGAAAUGACAGUGUCUAUUAGGAACUGGCCUUAGAAUCUCCCAGGUUGAUGGGACUUGCUUAAGUAACAACCUUAGUGGGAAAAUGCCAGUGGAAUUUCAUGAGUAUGACUGGCAGUGCCUGCGAGGAGGAGAACUGCGAGGAGGAGAAGGAUGAGAUACUUUUGGUUAGAUGCAGAAAUAGCAGCUCAGAGAGGCAAGUGACCUGCCCAAGGCCCCAGGAACCAGGUCUAGAGGGACCCUGGUGUGUCUUUGCCUGAGAGAUGGAGCUGUCUGUUACCGGCAUGGCCUGGAGGGGAAGAAGACCGUGGAAGGGAGAGGGCAGGGAGCUGCCUCACCUGCUAACUCUUCUCGAUUGAACCAGCUCUUCGCUUGGGAAUUUGACUGCAAUAUGACUUCUCAGGACACCAGACAUCCUAGCCUUAAAGAGGGCACAGCUACAUCUCCAGCUCCCAGAACAGUGCAUGGUACAGAGUAAGUACUCAGUAAAUACUUGGUGAAUGAAUGAAUGAAUGGAAUGAAUGACCAUCUUGGCAAUGGUAUUAUGAAAGCAUGAGGCUUCAGCCCCCUACAGAGAAGUGGGCUCUCAAUCUGCCCCACCUCUAACACAGAAUGCGUCCCCAAGUCUGGGAGCUGUAGCUUUCAGUCAAACAGGAUAGCAGAGCCCAUCUGUUUCAAUAGAGCUGUUGAUUUGGGUUUCUACUCUGCAUUUACCUUGACUGAUGGUUUGGUUCAAGUUAUGCUUUGUGAGAAAUUCAUUCCCUCCUGGAGUUGCUUCUGCCAACAGAGGGAAGACAAUCAUUUCUUCUUGGCAUGAUUUCCAACUCAAUUUUUUCUGUCUAGGAGAACUCAAUUGCCAUCAUACAACCAUUCCAAAUCUCAUGCUGGUCAAAUCAAAUGCUGCUUUUGUAAUUUAGCCACCCUCCCCUGGCCAUGUUCUAUUCUCCCUAUUUUCUCAGCUUCUCUAUUAUGGAAGAUUGAUUUUCUUUGCUUUCCAGUUAGAUCCUUGAGUCUAUGACUUUGGAAUUCUGGUUAUGGAGCAUUUUAUUUCUUAAU